rnacentral:rRNA from 1 species
GAUGAACGCUAGCUACAGGCUUAACACAUGCAAGUCGAGGGGCAGCAGGGAUUUAGCUUGCUAAAUCCGCUGGCGACCGGCGCACGGGUGCGUAACGCGUAUCCAACUUUCCCGUUACUCAGGGAUAGCCUUCCGAAAGGGAGAUUAAUACCUGAUGGUGUUUGAAAUUUGCAUGUUCUUCAAACUAAAGAUUUAUCGGUAACGGAUAGGGAUGCGUGACAUUAGAUAGUAGGCGGGGUAACGGCCCACCUAGUCUACGAUGUCUAGGGGUUCUGAGAGGAAGGUCCCCCACACUGGAACUGAGACACGGUCCAGACUCCUACGGGAGGCAGCAGUGAGGAAUAUUGGCCAAUGGUCGGAAGACUGAACCAGCCAAGUAGCGUGAAGGAUGAAGGUUCUAUGGAUUGUAAACUUCUUUUAUACGGGAAUAAAACAUCCCACGUGUGGGAUCUUGUAUGUACCGUAUGAAUAAGCAUCGUCUAACUCCGUGCCAGCAGCCGCGGUAAUAC